AGCAGACAAGGGCUAAACAAGGGGGCGUGACCAAGGGAAACCAGGAGGUGGGACGAGAGGAGCAUGUGGCAGACACAAACAGAGACAGAACCAUGUGCUUAGACACAAAACAAACAGUGAAACAUUGAACAAAGACAAGACUGUCAGGGCAGGUUCCUGACAUGCUGCGACUUGUAUCAGAAGUGUCCCAGAAGCAGCUCUCCGUGCUAAUUCGCUAAUAGUCUUUUGUGAGUUGGCGUGGAGGACGGAACAAAAUCUCAUCAGAGCCGUAAGGGGUAACAGUAACAUAAUAUGCUGAUCGUGGGCUGCUUUUAAAUGAACAUUUAUUUAUAAAACAAAAAAAUAUUUUUUUGCCAGCUUACUCAGCCUUUUCUCAUGUUUAUACAUAAGUAUUAAUACGUAAUAUUUACAAGCACAAAACAUACAUUUUUGUACAUUUUUACUGAUGCUAAAAUUUACCAUUUAGACAUUUUUCAACAUUUAAAAUGUACAAAUCACUAUGUAUAUUUUUAGCUAAAAAAAUAACAAAUAUUUACAUAUCUUUUGUAUAAUUAAGAUAUUCGUAUCAAUGCAUUUUUAGCAUUUUAUCAAUAAUUUCGAUUUUAGACCCCUUAACCUAACGUUACCCCCCCCAAACCUAAACCUACCCAUUUUACAGCGAAUAUGCAUUUUAUCAUUUUAUUAAUAAGCAAUUUAGAUUUUUAGACCCCUUAACCUACCCCCAAACUUAACCUACCCAUUUUAUAGCGAAUAAAAAAAGAUACAAAAUGCAAUUGAAUGAAAUGUAAUCCAAAUGACCAUACAUUGCAGCCGCAGUCACCUCUAGUGAAAUUCAAUAGGUUUGUGUAAGGUGCAGAGCAGAAUUUGUUGUUAAUCGCUGAAAAUAUUAAGAUAUUAUAUACAUUUUGAACAUUUUUUUUUGGUGUUUCCGGACAUUCCAGCAAAACAAGGGAGCGCUCCAACCCUUCCAGUCACCAAUCAAGCCAUGGAAAUGAUAGGAGGCACUCCACUUCACAUUUUCAAUCACCUUUGGAUUCAUCUCCUGAGUGUUCUUCUUCUAGAUCUGAAACAUCAAGGGCUCCAACUGGUGACAGCAUGGAUGUAUUUCCAAUGCCUAUGUCCAGUAAGUAUUUACUUUUUCUUGUAUAUUUGCAGUGUUUUUCAGUUCUGGUAUUGAGGACCACUUACUAUUAAGAAAGAAGUAGUCAUUUUUUAAAUAUAUAUCUGUAAUAAAAUCUUGAUGCCUUUUUAAAUGUAAUUAUUU
ensembl:lncRNA